GCCAGACUCCUACGGGAGGCAGCAGUGAGGAAUAUUGGUCAAUGGGCGGAAGCCUGAACCAGCCAAGUCGCGUGAGGGAAGAAGGCCCUGCGGGUCGCAGACCUCUUUGGACGGGGAGCAAGGCCGCCGACGUGUCGGCGGAAGGAGAGUACCCGUAGAACAAGCAUCGGCUAACUCCGUGCCAGCAGCCGCGGUAAUACGGGGGAUGCGAGCGUUAUCCGGAUUUAUUGGGUUUAAAGGGUGCGCAGGCGGAUUUUUAAGUCAGCGGUCAAAUCGUGGGGCUCAACCCCAUCCAGCCGUUGAAACUGGGGAUCUAGAGUGUGCGAGAGGUAUGCGGAAUGCGUGGUGUAGCGGUGAAAUGCAUAGAUAUCACGCAGAACCCCGAUUGCGAAGGCAGCAUACCGGUGCACAACUGACGCUCAGGCACGAAAGCGUGGGUAUCGAACAGGAUUA
rnacentral:rRNA from 1 species